rnacentral:miRNA from 1 species
UGGAACCGGGCACGCAGGAG